rnacentral:tRNA from 1 species
GGCAGUGUAGCAUAGUGGGUAAGGAACUGCGCUUGUAACCGAAAGGUCAUAGGUUCGAUUCCUGGGUAGGACACUGCCG